AACGAACGCUGGCGGCAGGCUUAACACAUGCAAGUCGAACGGGCGUAGCAAUACGUCAGUGGCAGACGGGUGAGUAACACGUGGGAACCUUCCUAGGGGUACGGAACAACUCAGGGAAACUUGAGCUAAUACCGUAUACGUCCGUGAGGAGAAAGAUUUAUCGCCCUUAGACGGGCCCGCGUCGGAUUAGCUAGUUGGUGGGGUAACGGCCUACCAAGGCGACGAUCCGUAGCUGAUCUUAGAGGAUGAUCAGCCACACUGGGACUGAGACACGGCCCAGACUCCUACGGGAGGCAGCAGUGGGGAAUUUUGGACAAUGGGGGCAACCCUGAUCCAGCCAUGCCGCGUGAGUGAAGAGGGCCUCGGUUGUAAGGACUCUUUCGGUCCGGGAAGAAAUACGUAUGGGCUAAUACCCUGUGCGGAUGACGGUACCGGCGAUAAGAAGACACCGGCUAACUACGUGCCAGCAGCCGCGGU
rnacentral:rRNA from 1 species